rfam:Prosthecochloris aestuarii DSM 271, complete genome.
GAAAACCGGUAGAUGAUAGAGCAUGGAAGUUUCUUCCAGGAAAAGCUUAGCCAGCCAGCAUGGCUCCGAAAACAGACCGAUUUGCAGGCUGACCCUGUACAACGAAGGGGGAAAGCAAUACCGACCAUGCCGAUACGGCGAGGAACGGCAGGCUGCGGCGGAGUCAAAGAACG